GGAUGAGCCCCCCAAGGCUCGCGGGAGGAUGUUUCAGUUAACCUCGGAUGAAGCUAAAGCUAGCCCGGAUGUGGUUUCAGGCACAAAGAAGGAAGAAGGCGCAAGUCACUCGAAGGCACAAGCAUCUCAAGAUCGCGGUAAAUCCCUUGCUUGAUUGCGGCGCACCCGGACCGAACACACACACGUAAUGUCGACCUUAUGCGCUUCCGGUCCAAG